AAGACUAUACUUUCAGAGAUCAUUUCUAUAGUUUGUUACUACAAUUCUCAAUAAGUGUGUUUAAAAGCCUCUUAGAUGGCUCAGACAUGUGAGAUAUGGAGGU
rnacentral:snoRNA from 1 species